rnacentral:rRNA from 1 species
UGAGGAAUAUUGGUCAAUGGACGAGAGUCUGAACCAGCCAAGUAGCGUGCAGGAUGACGGCUCUAUGGGUUGUAAAUUGCUUUUGUUUGGGAAUAAUCGACAUUACGUGUAACGCUUUGCAUGUACCAUUCGAAUAAGGACCGGCUAAUUCCGUGCCAGCAGCCGCGGUAAUACGGAAUGUCCAGGCGUUAUCCGGAUUUAUUGGGUUUAAAGGGAGUGUAGGCGGUUGGUUAAGCGUGUUGUGAAAUGUAGAUGCUCAACAUCUGACUUGCAACGCGAACUGGCUGACUUGAGUACACACAACGUAGGCGAAAUUCAUGGUAUAGCGAUGAAAUGCUUAGAUAUCAUGAAGAACACCGAUUGCGAAGGCAGCUUACGGGGGUGUUACUGACACUUAAGCUCGAAGGUGCGGGUAUCGAGCAGG